AUGGUCAAUGGACCACGCAUUCCUCCUGGCUUCACCCGUGAAGACGGAGGCGACGGGAACGGCGAUCCGUCACGCGUUCAUGAAGAAUACCGCCCCGAACCCCUCUCUUUGCAGCAGAGGGAGGAACUUCACCGCCGGAACAUGGAUGCACUACAUACUCCUAUAGUUGGAGAAACCCCUGAGGCCCAGGCCUUGGAGCAGGCGCGCUUGGCCAACUUGGCUGAGCGCACUCGACUGGAGAACCUCCAGCGUGCACUCGACGAUCGCGCUCGACAGCAUGCUCCCGAAUCCAGUCGACGCCAACUUUUUCCACCUCCGACUCAGGUAUACCGAACCCCGAUCCAGAAUCUAGCAGCUGCUGCCCGGAUAGCAGAGUCGAUCCAACCUUCCCAGUCAGAAGCUGGCCGAGGUCUGGUGCAGAUCUGA
rnacentral:rRNA from 1 species